rnacentral:rRNA from 1 species
UACGAAGGGGGCUAGCGUUGUUCGGAAUCACUGGGCGUAAAGGGCGCGUAGGCGGCCGAUCAAGUCGGGGGUGAAAGCCUGUGGCUCAACCACAGAAUUGCCUUCGAUACUGUUUGGCUUGAGACCGGAAGAGGUUAGUGGAACUGCGAGUGUAGAGGUGAAAUUCGUAGAUAUUCGCAAGAACACCAGUGGCGAAGGCGGCUGACUGGUCCGGUUCUGACGCUGAGGCGGCGAAAAGCGUGGGGAGCAAACGGG